UGGUUUGCUUCACCGCAGACUGAAUCCAACUCAAUCUUUGAAUAUCCCAAAGCAUCUGCAGGUUCUAACCAGUUAUUUGUGUCAUUUUUACAGAGAAGUCUCCACACGAUGAGAGCCAAGUGGAGGAAGAAGCGCAUGCGCAGGCUGAAGCGUAAAAGGAGAAAGAUGAGGCAGAGGUCAAAGUAAGCCCUCAUCCCUGCCAGCUGUGGUCCCAUCUGAGCUUCUCCAGAUCAACAGACCAUUCAUCCAGGAAGUGGCUGUGUGACGCAUCUACUGAAACUGUGGAAAAGUCCCGAUUGUUCAUCUGAGGACAGCUGUGGAUGUGCUGCUGGAAGAAGUUGAAGAUGCUGGACGAAUAUCACCAGAAAGUGCAGCUGCAUUGUUCAUGGACCAUGAUACAACUUGUUUACUUGCAAACUGUCAUGUGGUGUAUUGAACAAUAAAUGAACACUGUUAAGUCUCCACACA